rnacentral:piRNA from 1 species
UAAGGGAUUCUGGUCUGAUGAAUGAA